AUUGAACGCUGGCGGCAGGCUUAACACACGCAAGUCGAGCGGAAACGAUGAUAGCUUGCUAUCAGGCGUCGAGCGGCGGACGGGUGAGUAAUGCGUAGGAAUUUACCCAGCAGCGGGGGAUAGCCCGGGGAAACCCGGAUUAAUACCGCAUACACUCUACGGAGGAAAGCAGGGGCUUCAUUUAUGGACCUUGCGCUGUUGGAUGAGCCUGCGUGGGAUUAGCUGGUUGGUGAGGUAAAGGCUCGCCAAGGCGACGAUCUCUAGCUGGUCUGAGAGGAUGAUCAGCCACACUGGGACUGAGACACGGCCCAG
rnacentral:rRNA from 1 species